rnacentral:rRNA from 1 species
UGAACGCUGGCGGCGUGCUUAACACAUGCAAGUCGAACGAUUAAAGCUCACUUCGGUGAGUGUAUAGAGUGGCGAACGGGUGAGUAACACGUGGGCAACCUGCCCCUCACACUGGGAUAACCAUUGGAAACGAUGGCUAAUACCGGAUACUCCAUUUAGAUCGCAUGGUCUGAUUGGGAAAGCUCCGGCGGUGAGGGAUGGGCCCGCGGCCCAUUAGCUAGUUGGUGAGGUAAUGGCUCACCAAGGCAACGAUGGGUAGCCGGGCUGAGAGGCCGAUCGGCCACACUGGGACUGAGACACGGCCCAGACUCCUACGGGAGGCAGCAGUGGGGAAUUUUGCACAAUGGGCGAAAGCCUGAUGCAGCAACGCCGCGUGCGGGAUGAAGGCUUUCGGGUUGUAAACCGCUUUCAGCAGGGAUGAGAUUGACAGUACCUGCAGAAGAAGCCCCGGCUAAAUAC